rnacentral:rRNA from 1 species
GCUAGCGGCAGGCCUAACACAUGCAAGUCGAACGGUAACAGAGAAGAGCUUGCUCUUUUGCUGACGAGUGGCGCACGGGUGCGUAACGCGUAUACAAUCUACCUUUUACAGGGGGAUAGUCUUUAGAAAUGAAGAAUAAUAUCCCAUAGUAUCUAAUGAUUUCGCAUGUUAUUUAGAUUAAAGUUUCGGCGGUAAAAGAUGAGUAUGCGUCCUAUUAGCUAGAUGGUGUGGUAACGGCACACCAUGGCGACGAUAGGUAGGGGCCCUGAGAGGGGAUCCCCCACACUGGUACUGAGACACGGACCAGACUCUACGGGAGGCAGCAGUGAGGAAUAUUGGACAAUGGGCGCAAGCCUGAUCCAGCCAUGCCGCGUGCAGGAAGACUGCCUAUGGGUUGUAAACUGCUUUUAUAUCAGGAAGAAACCUUUCCACGUGUGGAAAGCUUGACGGUACUAUAAGAAUAAG